rfam:Salmo salar isolate Sally breed double haploid chromosome ssa07, whole genome shotgun sequence.
GUCUCUGUGAAGCAAUUGGUCAGCGCGUUAGACUGUCAAUCUAAAGGUUGGUGCUUCGACCCCACCCAGGGAUG